GGGGAAUUUUGGACAAUGGGCGCAAGCCUGAUCCAGCCAUGCCGCGUGUCUGAAGAAGGCCUUCGGGUUGUAAAGGACUUUUGUCAGGGAAGAAAAGGCUGUUGCUAAUAUCAGCGGCUGAUGACGGUACCUGAAGAAUAAGCACCGGCUAACUACGUGCCAGCAGCCGCGGUAAUACGUAGGGUGCGAGCGUUAAUCGGAAUUACUGGGCGUAAAGCGGGCGCAGACGGUUACUUAAGCAGGAUGUGAAAUCCCCGGGCUCAACCCGGGAACUGCGUUCUGAACUGGGUGACUCGAGUGUGUCAGAGGGAGGUAGAAUUCCACGUGUAGCAGUGAAAUGCGUAGAGAUGUGGAGGAAUACCGAUGGCGAAGGCAGCCUCCUGGGACAACACUGACGUUCAUGCCCGAAAGCGUGGGUAGCAAACAGGAUUAGAUACCCUGGUAGUCCACGCCCUAAACGAUGUCAAUUAGCUGUUGGGCAACCUGAUUGCUUGGUAGCGUAGCUAACGCGUGAAAUUGACCGCCUGGGGAGUACGGUCGCAAGAUUA
rnacentral:rRNA from 1 species